AGCGUUGGGGCCGGCCGCCCGCCCAGUUGUUGCUCAGGUGCGCUCGUUGGUACUAUUUGUCUGCUGGCCUCUCCCACUCGGCCGUUCCCAGCGUUCCCACGCGGGAGGCAACUGCCAGAGAAAAGGUGCGGCGUCGCACUGACCUGACCUGAGGAAGCCGGCGCCAGCUCGCAGGGCCCGGGCCGCCUCUCAGAGCCAUGAGCUACGGCCGUCCCCCUCCCGAUGUGGAGGGUAUGACCUCCCUCAAGGUGGACAACCUGACCUACCGCACCUCUCCCGACACGCUGAGGCGCGUCUUCGAGAAGUACGGGCGCGUCGGCGACGUGUACAUCCCGCGGGACCGCUACACCAAGGAGUCCCGUGGCUUCGCCUUCGUGCGCUUCCAUGACAAGCGCGACGCCGAGGACGCCAUGGACGCCAUGGACGGGGCCGUGCUGGACGGCCGCGAGCUGCGAGUGCAGAUGGCGCGCUACGGCCGCCCCCCGGACUCGCACCAUAGCCGCCGGGGCCCGCCACCCCGCAGGUACGGGGGCGGCGGCUACGGACGCCGCAGCCGCAGCCCUAGGCGGCGUCGCCGCAGCCGAUCCCGGAGUCGGAGCCGAUCCAGGUCCCGCAGCCGAUCUCGCUACAGCCGCUCGAAGUCUCGGUCCCGCACUCGAUCUCGCUCUCGGUCGACUUCCAAAUCCAGAUCUGCGCGAAGAUCCAAGUCCAAGUCCUCGUCGGUCUCCAGAUCUCGUUCGCGAUCCAGGUCCAGAUCUAGGUCCAGGAGUCCUCCCCCCGUGUCCAAGAGGGAAUCCAAGUCCAGGUCCCGAUCCAAGAGUCCCCCCAAGUCUCCUGAAGAGGAAGGAGCGGUGUCCUCUUAAGAAAAUGCUGCGGUCUCCUGUUUGAUAAAAGAAUAUUGGCCAGUAUUGCAGAUUUUAACUGAUUUGGCUGAUCCUCCAGGGACCAGUUUCUGUGGGCGUGUAUUGGAGCAGAUGUAUCAGCAAGCAACGUAAUGGAGGACUUGGGGGAAAAGGACCACAUACUCAGUCCGUGGAAGAAUCCUUGGAACAAGCAACUGGCUAUUGAAAAGGUUAUUUUGUAACAUUUGUCUAACUUUUUACUUGUUUUAAGCUUCCCCUCAGGUGGCAAGCUUCAUUUUAUGUGCCAUUUUGUUGCUGUUAUUCAAAUUUCUUGUAAUUUAGUGAGGUGAACGACUUCAGAUUUCAUUAUUGGAUUGGAUAUUUGAGGUAAAAUUUCAUUUUUGUUUAUAUAGUGCUGACUUUUUUUGUUUGAAAUUAAACAGAUUGGUAACCUAAUUUGUGGCCUCCUGAUUUUUAAGGAAACGUGUGCAGCCAUUACAUACAGCCUAAAGCUGUCAAGAGAUUGACUCAACAUUGCCUUCAUUCCUUAAAAUUAAAAACCUACAAAAGUUGGUGUAAAUUUGUAUAUGUUAUUUACCUUCAGGUCUAAAAUGGUAAUUUGAACCCAAAUUUGUAUAAAGACUUUUCAGGUGAAAAGACUUGAUUUUUUUGAAAGGAUUGUUUACCAAACACAAUUCUAAUCUCUUCUCUUAUGUAUUUUUGUGCACUAGGCGCAGUUGUGUAGCAGUUGAGUAAUGCUGGUUAGCUGUUAAGGUGGCGUGUUGCAGUGCAGAGUGCUUGGCUGUUUCCUGUUUUCUCCUGAUUGCUCCUGUGUAAAGAUGCCUUGUCGUGCAGAAACAAAUGGCUGUCCAGUUUAUUAAAAUGCCUGACAACUGCACUUCCAGUCACCCGGGCCUUGCAUAUAAAUAACGGAGCAUACAGUGAGCACAUCUAGCUGGUGAUAAAUACACCUUUUUUCCCCCUCCCCCAAAAAAUGGUAAAUCUGAUCAUAUCUUCAUGUAUGAACUUAAAAUAUGGAAAAUGUUAAGGAAGCAAAUGGUUUGUAACUUUGUAAGUACUUAAAACAUGGUGUAUCUUUGCUUAUGAAUAUUCUGUACUAUAACCAUUGUUUCUGUAGUUUAAUUAAAAUGUUUUUUUGGUGUUAGCUUUUCUCAGAAUAUGUCUUGGUCGUUUUUUUCCCAUUUAUUUAAAAAGACCUAUGCAAUUAUCUUGUGAAUAUUACUGUAUAGUGUGAAAGUGAAAUGUUUAGUACUUAAUUUCCUAAGUUAAAAAGAAAGUGGAAAUGCCAGUUCACCUAAAAUUUUUCAAUGCUUUAAGGUAGCACUUUCUUCAGGUUGUCACUAUCCCCUUCUCAAUCUGUUUUAUGCUCUAUUUUAGUAACUAAGGAACAAUCCAAGUCCUUUUUUCCAUAGAUGUUUUAAUUUUUGUUUUUAUUGUUGUGUUACCCAUGAGUGUUGUCUAGGUGACACAUGACAAUCUAAGGCCAGCAGACUUGUGCAUCUUCAAGCCCACUGCAUUUUCUCUCAAGCUGAAGUGAUCGGAUCUUAGUUUACAUGGUGGUUUGCUAAUCGGCAUUGACAUUGUCACAGAAAGUCUUGUAGGUAUAAUUCAGAAAUUGUUUAGAUUGUUUUUUGCAAAGGAGAUGACCAGCAUUUCAACAGUGUGUCUUCCUGGAAGGGCAGAUUCUGCUAUAUCUUCCUUGUCUGCAUCAAAAGACUCCAGAGGAAUAUGGACACAUUUCAUAUCCCACUUGUAGAGCAAAGCUUCAAGUGACCAGUCAGCACUAAAAAAAAAUAAAUUGUGGUUUUUUUUAAAA